GAAUGGUGUCGUCUGCACCUCCAGAAAUGAGCCCAAUAAGAUAUUGGUAAAAAUUACAUUAAAAGGAUUUUAACAUAUUGGACCAUAUAACCUGCAUAGAUGGUCUAUUAUCAGAUGUUAAAUGAUUUUAACAUAUUGUACCAUAUAACCUGUAUUGAUGGUGUAUUAUCAGAUGUUAAAUGAUUUUUAAAUAUUUUAUUUGCUAUCUUUCUUACCAUUAUCUGUGUAUUUGCAUUUCAAUGUGAUUUCAACCAUCAUUUUUUCUGUGGGAUUGUCAUGUUUAUUCAACUUUAGUUUUAGAAGUGGGGGGCAUCAUUUUUUCAUUAUUAUUAUUAUUUAAAAAAUGGUUGGAUAACCACUCAAAACAGCCUACCCAACCACUCGGAGGAAUCCACAUGGCCCUAAAGCACACUGUUGCCUCGUUUUGUAUCACAUUCCAAUGAUAAAACUGGGGGGGGACAAAAAUGCAAUUUCAGAAUGUGGGGGGACAUGUCCCCAGUGAAAGUUGCACACCUGGAUAACUGUAUCACUGGCUGUCUCAUGGAGAGUGUGAGGGUGGGUGUUAUGGUCGGGAUGGCCUGAACUCAGAGUCUGAUUGAAUAACAAGGGAAACCACAGAUACUGCAGUAAAACAUGGUGGAACAAAGGCAGCUGGCAGUAACUUCACUUACUGCUGUUUCCUUGGUUUUUACUUAGAUUUUGUAGUUACAGCAAAUUUGAAACUCCAUGUUCUCUGAAACAGAAGGUAAUAGAACCCGGACACUUUGUCACAAGAUAUAACAGAAGAUAAUUGAACCAGGACACUUUGUCACAAGGUAUAACAGAAGCUAAUAGAACCGGACACUUUGUCACAAGAUAUACAGAAGCUAAUAGAACCAGGACACUUUGUCACAAGAUAUAACAGCAGAUAAUUGAACCAGGAUACUUUGUCACAAGAUAUAACAGAAGGUAAUUGAACCAGGACACUUUGUCACAAGAUAUAACAGAAGGUAAUUGAACCAGGACACUUUGUCACAAGAUAUAACAGAAGUUAAUAGAACCAGGACACUUUGUCACAAGAUAUAACAGAAGCUAAUAGAACCGGACACUUUGUCACAAGAUAUAACAGCAGAUAAUUGAACCAGGAUACUUUGUCACAAGAUAUAACAGAAGGUAAUUGAACCAGGACACUUUGUCACAA